rnacentral:rRNA from 1 species
UACGGAAGGCAGCAGGGGGAAUAUUGCACAAUGGGCGCAAGCCUGAUGCAGCCAUGCCGCGUGUAUGAAAAAGGCCUUCGGGUUGUAAAGUACUUUCAGUCGUGAGGAAGGUGUUAAGGUUAAUAACCUUAGCAAUUGACGUUAGCGACAGAAGAAGCACCGGCUAACUCCGUGCCAGCAGCCGCGGGUAAUACGGAGGGUGCGAGCGUUAAUCGGAAUUACUGGGCGUAAAGGGCACGCAGGCGGUUAAUUAAGUUGGAUGUGAAAUCCCCGGGCUUAACCUGGGAAUGGCAUUCAAGACUGGUUAGCUAGAGUCUUGUAGAGGGGGUAGAAUUCCAUGUGUAGCGGUGAAAUGCGUAGAGAUGUGGAGGAAUACCGGUGGCGAAGGCGGCCCCUGGCAAAGACUGACGCUCAUGUGCGAAAGCGUGGGGAGCAAACAGGAUUAGAUACC